UUUUUUCUCCCUGCGGCUGCUUCUUUUUCUCUCUGCAAAAAAAUGGUGAAAGCCAAACCUUUGAAUCCAUCAUCAUCUUCUACAACUCGUCUCUUGUUGUCAAUAGAAGAAUCCCUUUUGUCUAAAUUCGUUAAACUCUAAUUUGCUACUGAUGGCUUCUGACGAUAACAAUGAGAAGAGGGUGAAGAACUUGAAAGCAAAGACUCACGGCAGUUCACACGGCGGAAACGGCGGAACCAGCUAGAAACGAUCGGCUAACCAAAAACCCUAGAUUGAAAUGGAUUUGGGCUUUGUUAUUGUAAUUUGGAUUGGGCUUGGGAUUUUAUUAGGUUAUGCCUUUUAAUUUUGUCAAUUGGGUUGUUGUUAUUGGGUUUUUGCGAUGUAAAUAUUUUUUCUUACAAAAAGUAAACCGAACAAAAAACCGAAUAAAAAAAAAAUCGGUUCAUUUUCGGAACAGAAAUUUUUGUCAAUAA